GCUGGUGUAGCUCAACUGGCAGAGCAGCUGAUUUGUAAUCAGCAGGUUGCUGGUUCGAUUCCGGUCACCAGCUCCA
rnacentral:tRNA from 1 species